AACGAACGCUGGCGGCAUGCCUAACACAUGCAAGUCGAACGAGACCUUCGGGUCUAGUGGCGCACGGGUGCGUAACGCGUGGGAACCUGCCCUUAGGUUCGGAAUAACUCCCCGAAAGGGGUGCUAAUACCGGAUAAUGUCUUCGGACCAAAGAUUUAUCGCCUUUGGAUGGGCCCGCGUUGGAUUAGCUAGUUGGUAGGGUAAAAGCCUACCAAGGCGACGAUCCAUAGCUGGUCUGAGAGGAUGAUCAGCCACACUGGGACUGGGACACGGCCCAGAAUCCUACGGGAGGGAGCAGUGGGGAAUAUUGCACAGUGGGCGAAAGCCUGAUCCAGCAAUGCCGCGUGAGUGAUGAAGGCCUUAGGGUUGUAAAGCUCUUUUACCCGGGAUGAUAAUGACAGUACCGGGAGAAUAAGCACCGGCUAACUCCGUG
rnacentral:rRNA from 1 species